UUCACCACCGCUCAACACGAGAGAUAAGUAGUCUCUCUUUGGAAUCCUUUUCAUCUAGGGUUUCCAGAUCAACAACCCAAAAAAUGAAAUCGGAAACACUCAUUUCCCAAGUUUAUGUUCUAGAUCUAGAAGUUUUAAGCAGUUACCUUCCACGUCGAAGGAUUUCUCAGCUCCGACGAAGAAACGACUGUGGUUUUCUCGGGAAAGGGUGACGGUGACGGAUUCCUUGCCCACUCGGAAGGCGACGACGGCGCAGUACCUUGCUAGGGCUCAAAACCCUAUGUUCAUUUGGUUGAAUCUGAGCCAUCAGAUCGCCUUCAGAUCCUACGAUCAAGGUACUGGCGGCACUAGAAGGGUUUAGAAAACCCUAAUUGUGAUGGGCUCCACAACUAGGCCUUGGAUCUUGGGCUUUAGGUUUAAAAUAGUUUAGGCUUCAAAUUUGGGUUUGUUUUGUAUUUUGUGAUUGAGUUUUGGUAAUAUUUGAGUUGUAACAUGAAAAAUAAAAUAUGUAAAUGAUAUUAGUAUAU